UAUUGUUUUUUUCCUUUUGAAAGAAAAAAAAAUAAAAAACUUAAAUUUCGGCGGCCACCUCGUGACUUAUAAGAUAUAGAGUUUUUUUAAUGAAUCUGUCAGUG
rnacentral:ribozyme from 1 species